UGUAGGUCUACCAUACAGUGUACCAUACAGUGUAGGUCUCUAUGGAUUAUCUCCAUCUUCUUCACAGCUUUAAAUUACUAAGAGCUACCUUUCCCAAGACAUUGUGGGCUACAUGAUGCUAAAAAUCCAUCGAAAUCGUACAAGGAUGGGCCAUCUCGAGAUCAGUAUCGACUGUCAAAAGAAACCGUCACCAAUAUGCUGGAAGCCGAAAUGAAGAGGGACACACAGCUCAGAGGAUAGAUCAACUUCCUGUUUAUUUGCAGGUGUUGACAACUCUCCAUUUUUAUGCAGUGGGAUCAUUUUAAAAGAUGCAUGGUGAUGAGGCAGCAAUAUCGCAGUCAUCAAUGUGUCAGAAGCUAAAGCAAGAAGGAAGAGGCAAUACAUGAAGAUUCCUACAAGAGAAGAAGUUGAAGCAACUCGGAGACAGUUCUAU